rnacentral:misc_RNA from 2 species
GUACCUUCAAGCUUUGCUUGGUGUUGGGCGUUUUUUGUCUCCCUCUUUCUGGGAGACUCGCCUUAAAACGAUUGGCAGCCGGCCUACUGGUUUCGGAGCGCAGCACAUAUUUUGCGCUUUGUAUCAGGAGAAAAGGACGGUAAUCCAUCAAGACUCUACAUUUUUAAC